rnacentral:rRNA from 1 species
CAGCAGCCGCGGUAAUACGUAGGGGGCUAGCGUUGUUCGGAAUUAUUGGGCGUAAAGGGCGUGUAGGCGGUUGUGUAAGCCUGAUGUGAAAUCCUGCGGCUUAACUGUAGUGUUGCAUCUGGAACUGGGUAACUUGAGUCCCCGAGGGGAAACUAGAAUUCCUAGUGUAGGGGUGGAAUCUGUAGAUAUCUGGAAGAAUACCCGUGGCGAAAGCGAGCUUCUGGAUGAUUAUUGACGCUGAUGUGCGAAAGUGCGGGGAGCAAACAGGAUUAGAUACCCUGGUAGUCCUCACCGUAAACUAUGUACACUUGGUGUAGGGGCAAUCGACCCUCUGUGUGACCUAACGCACUAAUUAUCCCGCCUGGGGAGUACGGACGCACGGUUGAAACUCAAAGGAAUUGACGG